AGGGCUUACACAUGCAAGUUGNCGGGGCAGCAUGGGGUAGCAAUACCUUGAUGGCGACCGGCGCACGGGUGAGUAACGCGUAUCCAACCUGCCAUAUACUACGGGAUAACCCGGGGAAACUCGGACUAAUACCGUAUGUGAUCGUUUGAUGACAUCAGAUUACGAUUAAAGGUUUAGCGGUAUAUGAUGGGGAUGCGUCUGAUUAGAUAGUUGGUGAGGUAACGGCUCACCAAGUCUUCGAUCAGUAGGGGUUCUGAGAGGAAGGUCCCCCACAUUGGAACUGGAACACGGUCCAAACUCCUACGGGAGGCAGCAGUGGGGAAUAUUGGUCAAUGGGCGUAAGCCUGAACCAGCCAAGUAGCGUGCGGGAUGACGGCCCUAUGGGUUGUAAACCGCUUUUAUAUGGGGAUAAAGUGAGGUAUGUAUACCUUUUUGCAGGUACCAUAUGAAUAAGGACCGGCUAAUUCCGUGCCAGCAGCCGCGGUAAUACGGAAGGUCCUGGUGUUAUCCGGAUUUAUUGGGUUUAAAGGGAGCGUAGGCUGUUUUAUAAGCGUGUCGUUAAAUCGCGGGGCUCAACCCCGCUAAGCGGCGCGAACUGUAGGACUUGAGUGUGCACGAGGUAGGUGGAAUUUGUGGUGUAGCGGUGAAAUGCUUAGAUAUCACGAAGAACUCCGAUUGCGAAGGCAACUUACCGGAGCACAACUGACGCUGAAGCUCGAAAGUGCGGGUAUCGAACAGGAUUAGAUACCCUGGUAGUCCGCACGGUAAACGAUGGAUGCUCGCCGUUGGCUUGAAUUAGUCAGUGGCCAAGCGAAAGCAUUAAGCAUCCCACCUGGGGAGUACGCCGGCAACGGUGAAACUCAAAGGAAUUGACGGGGGCCCGCACAAGCGGAGGAACAUGUGGUUUAAUUCGAUGAUACGCGAGGAACCUUACCCGGGCUUGAAUUGCAAGAGAAGGAUACAGAGAUGUUGACGCCCUUCGGGGCUCUUGUGAAGGUGCUGCAUGGUUGUCGUCAGCUCGUGCCGUGAGGUGUCGGCUUAAGUGCCAUAACGAGCGCAACCCUUAUUUAUAGUUGCCAUCGGGUAAUGCCGGGCACUCUAUAGACACUGCCACCGUAAGGUGUGAGGAAGGUGGGGAUGACGUCAAAUCAGCACGGCCCUUACGUCCGGGGCUACACACGUGUUACAAUGGCAUGUACAGAGGGUUGGUCUGAGUAGCAAUACUGAUCUAAUCCCUAAAGCAUGUCCCAGUUCGGACAGGGGUCUGCAACCCGACCCCUCGAAGCUGGAUUCGCUAGUAAUCGCGCAUCAGCCAUGGCGCGGUGAAUACGUUCCCGGGCCUUGUACACACCGCCCGUGAGAGCCAUGAAAGUUGGGGGCGCCUGAAGUCCGUAACCGCAAGGAUCGGCCUAGGGGGAAA
rnacentral:rRNA from 1 species